AAAAAAGAGAAACUCUCAUCAAUCUGCUGAUCCUGGGGACAGACUUGACCACAGUGAGCAGCGUCUACACAAUCAGUCUGAGGAAAACGGUGACCUCAACUAUGCCAGUGUCCACUUCAUGAAGAGGGAGACGGAUCCCAGCGAACACAAGGAGGCGGAGGAGGUUGCGUACUCUUCUGUCAAGUUUAACAGAUCUGCCCCGAGAAACAGAGGUCAGGACACUGGAGAGGAUCCAGCUUUAUUUUACAGCACAGUCCAAAAACAUCCUGCUGUUUAGACCAACGUCUGGAAAUCACCUUAGUCCAGAUGGAAAUAUCUCAACAGCUGCAGGAUGGAUUUGAAUAGAAGUUCAUUCAACUGUUCAUGGUCCCCACAGGAUGAAUCCUUCUGUGGUGACAGACUCCAGCAUCAUUGUUGAAGUGAAUGUUCAGUUUCAAGUGACCUGUCUUGACAGCUAAUGGAUAAAUUGCCCCGAGGAUGAAUCCAAACGACUUCGGUGACUCGACUUUUAUCUGAAAUAUAUCAGCAACUUGUAGAAGUUGUUAAAAACGCCACAUUUAGCCUGAAUGAAAAAUAUCAAACAUUUUAUAACUUGCCGCUUCAAACAUGAAAAUAUCUGCGGUGUGUGUAAGACAGUCGAAAAACUGUAAACUUGUAAUUAACUUUUUUCUAUUCACAAAAUAAUCAAAACAAGCAUUAUUAGUUAGUUGUAGUGUGACACUGCUGCCACUAGAUGGUAGUAAAGAGUUUUACUGAUAAAACCACAGAGAGGAUUCUGUCCCUUUCUCUUCUUUCUGUUUCUACGUUAUUGUUUCCAGCGUUUCCAUCAUCAGCCGAUCAGGAGUUGAACUCAUUUCCUCUGAGGACUGGAGGGAGCACGUCUCAUGUGGAUGUGAGCUGCUACUGACGUGAUGAACGCCUUGAAUGUGACGUUAACACAAAGUGAACUGCUGACACCAGAUGAGCUGUGUUGCCUCUGGUGUCUGUUCAAAGUUUGCAUCAGGUCCAUUGAUUUCACUUUAGUGUUUUGUGGUAUUUCUCACAUCACAUGUUAAACACGUGAUGAAGAAGGAGUUAGAUGUGUUUUAAUCCACCAUGUUCACACGGCGGCCAUUUUCCUCUGACGUCUCUCUCAGGGUGUGAAGCUCGAAUGUUGUUACCAACAGAAUAAUGUUGUACUGCUGUGAUCCAGGUUUAUAAGUUACACAAAAAAGUGAAUAUAUUAUUACUUAUUCUUCAUUAGGAUUAUUGAUUAUUUAUUAUAACAUUAGUUUGGGUAAUUUUAGGAACAUAGUAAGUUUGUUUGCUGCACCUUUAGGAGACUGAUGUUAAUACUUUUUAUUUUUCUUUACAACAUUAUUCAUAUUCAUAGUCUUGUUUGUUUAAUUUGUUGUUCACUCACAACUUCCUCUUUUUUAACUUUGAGACGUACAGAUCCCUCUGCUUUGCUUGCAACAAAGCAGAGGGAUCAUUAAAAGUGUGUUUUUUAUACUGUUCAUAUAUUUUUAUUUCAACAUUAAAUGUGAAGUUCAUUUAUUCCUAUUUGCUAUUGUUUUUAAACUCUUACUAUAUUUUAAUCUCACUUCCAAUAUUUGUUCUGUCUUUCGUUCUUCCUUUUCAUAAUAAAGCCAUUCAGACGCCA